rnacentral:rRNA from 1 species
UACGUAGGGUGCGAGCGUUAAUCGGAAUUACUGGGCGUAAAGCGUGCGCAGGCGGUUGGUUAAGUCUGAUGUGAAAGCCCCGGGCUCAACCUGGGGAAUGGCAUUGGAAACCAUCUGGCUAGAGUCCGGAAGAGGAGAGUGGAAUUCCUGGUGUAGCGGUGAAAUGCGCAGAUAUCAGGAAGAACACCUAUGGCGAAGGCAGCUCUCUGGGACGGUACUGACGCUGAGACGCGAAAGCGUGGGGAGCGAACAGG